rnacentral:rRNA from 1 species
UACGAAGGGGGCAAGCGUUGUUCGGAAUUACUGGGCGUAAAGGGCGCGUAGGCGGCUUAUCAAGUCAGGCGUGAAAUUCCCGGGCUCAACCUGGGGGCUGCGCUUGAUACUGAUUGGCUUGAAUGCGGGAGAGGAUAGUGGAAUUCCACGUGUAGCGGUGAAAUGCGUAGAGAUGUGGAGGAACACCAAUGGCGAAGGCAGCCUUCUGGGCCAACACUGACGCUCAUGCACGAAAGCGUGGGGAGCAAACAGG